rnacentral:misc_RNA from 1 species
GGUAAACAAAAGUGCCCUUUUGAUACAAUGUUAGUGUUUUACUAGAGAGUUCUAGCAGCCCAACUUAGAAAUCAUGACAAAAUCCAAAUUCAAACAGAUAUCAAAACUAAUGUAUCUGUAUUGACAAAUACUUGGCUCAUUUUAGGGGAUCUAAUGCGCACUGCGCAAUAUUCCAUGCAAAUAACCACCAGUCAUAACAAAAGACACAAAGGAGACGACACCAGCUGGAAAAACCUUCUUUGAUUUCAGAAAACGAGAUCCCAUUACUCCAACAAGUCCAGCUGAGAGGACAAAACCAAUUGCUGAUGCCAAAACAGGUUGUGUUGGAAGCAUAGUAUAAACAGCGUACAGGAGGGACGCAGAAACUCCACCUGCAAUCAGGGAUUUUGUGCUGCCACUCUUAAGAUAACCCAUAAAACCACCAGCUCCAACCAAGAAAGCAUAGCCCAAGGUCAAUUUUUGGGACAUAGAGAGGGCCAUUUUCUUUUUACUGUUAUGAUCCUCCCCUUCAUCUGAACCACCCUCAUUGCCACCAUCAUUAUUAUUUCCACUAUUAUCUCCCCUACCGCCACUGUCAUCAUUUGCACCCCCAAUAUCACCUCCGCCACCACCUGCCUCUGGCAGAAUAUCAAUUCCUGGCCCAGCUGGAUCAACAGUAAAGGUAGUUGGCAUUGUAGAGUCAACAGAGACAACACUGGCUCUGACCCCCAAAGAGAAAUGCGUCGAUCCAGCAGACAAGCCUGGAUACACUGUGUGAGAGGUAGUCAAGCUAUGAAGAGAUGAAUGAAGUGACCUCAAUGGCUGACUAUGAGCAAUGAAAAGCUGCCUUUGACUCCAAGCUUGGACUCGAAAGUUAGGCAACACUAUGGAGGACUGAGAAAUGGCCAAAAAUUCACCCAUUAUCUGGAAUAUGAAAUAGCAACGUGUACACUGAAUUACAAGAAACUUAUUUUCGGGAUGUUUUGUUUUCAGCAGCUUCUGUAGUCUCAGCAACUUCCACAAAAAUCAGUCUUCCAUCAACAAUCUUCUGUAACAACGCCAAAAGGUGAAAAUAGCUUCUUCAACUGUUCACUCGUAGUAUAAAACGACAAUCUGUUCACGAAUAGCUCUGUAGUCUCAGCAAC